CAUAUCACUAAGCGGAGAAAAAGAAAAUAACUAUGAUUCCUAAAGUAACGGCGAGUGAAAUAGGAUCAGCCCAUAGCCGAAUUCGGCUGUCCUCGACGGCAGCUCGAAGUUGUGGCGUUGGGAACUGCCUACAGUAACCUAUCAGCUUGACUACGCGACUCCUCUUGAUUGUGGUUUGCCCAUAGCAGGUGAAAGGCCUAUUGCCGUAGUCAUACUAGCUGGUGGUGAUGGCAGUCCUUAGAGUCGGGUUGUUUGGGAUUGCAGCCCGAAGCAGGUGGUAAACUCCACCUAAGGCUAAAUACGAUCGCGAGUCCGAUAGCGCACAAGUACCGUGAGGGACAGUUGAAAAGAACUUUGAAGAGAGAGUUCAAAGUACGUGAAACCGUUCAGAGGUAAACGGGUAGAAAGUCGAAUUGAUUGCUGACAAUCAGACUGGCGACCAAGUCGAAGUUGGGUUGAUAGCACGUUAAAGGCUGUCAAUUUGCUUGUCGGGCUGGUUACGGUUGUAUUUGUUGGCUUUCGUUCGCCGCGACGGCAGUGUCUGACCGGCUGGCGUUUAUUCCUCUGGUCGAUGUAAAUCCGUUUGGGUUUCCACGUCGGCACACGGAUAGGCGUCCCGCGUACUUAGCACAGUCGAUGGUUACAGCGGUUUAAGUGUACUGUCUGGUUGUCGUUCGUUUUGUAUCGGUAGUCUGAUCUUAAACAAGUUCACCUGCUGACAUCAGGGCGGCGGCAGCUGGUUUAACGACGGUAUAAACAUCGCAUUGGCGGCGUUUGACUACGAAUUAUCUACCUGACCCGUCUUGAAACACGGACCAAGGAGUCUAACCUGUGCGCAAGUUAUUGGGAGUAUGAAACCCAAAAGCGAAGUGAAAGCAAAAAUGGUGAGAUCUGUCGUUUAUUUGUUAAGAAUAGCGGCAGCGCAUCAUCGUCACGCCUCGAUUCGGCUUCGGCUGAAGAGGCGCAGACUGAGCGCACAAGUUGGGACCCGAAAGAUGGUGAACUAUGCGAGGCGAGGUCGAAGCCAGAGGAAACUCUGGUGGAGGACUGUAGCGGUUCUAACGUGCAAAUUGAUCGUCGCAGCUUCGUAUAGGGGCGAAAGACUAAUCGAACCAUCUAGUAGCUGGUUCCCUCCGAAGUUUCCCUCAGGAUAGCUGGCACUUUCGGAGAGCAGUUUUGUCCGGUAAAGCGAAUGACUAGAGGCCUUGGGGACAUAACGACCUCAACCUAUUCUCAAACUUUGAAUGGGCAAGAAGGGUGACUCACUUAAUUGGAGUUGCUUCAUUGUGAAUGCUUGAGUGCCAAGUGGGCCAUUUUUGGUAAGCAGAACUGGCGCUGUGGGAUGAACCAAACGUUUAGCUAAGGUGCCAAAUGCUGACGCUCAUCCGAACCCAUUAAAGGUGUUGGUUGAUAGAGACAGCAGGACGGUGGCCAUGGAAGUCGGAACCCGCCAAGGAGUGUGUAACAACUCACCUGCCGAAUCAACCAGUCCUGAAAAUGGAUGGCGCUGAAGCGUCGCGAACCUAUGCUAAACCGGCUUUGCAACUUUUCAGAUCACGCAAAGCCGAGUAGGAGGGUCGCUGUGGUAUGCGUUGAAGCUUUGGGCGAGGGCCCGAGUCGAGCUGCCACAGGUGCAGAUCUUGGUGGUAGUAGCAAAUAUUCAAACGAGAACUUUGAAGGCCGAAGUGGAGAAGGGUUCCAUGUGAACAGCAUUUGAACAUGGGUUAGUCGGUCCUAAGCGAUAGGCAAAUGCCGUUCUGAAAGCAGGCUUAAAUUUUAACAAUUGAUGCCUGAUUUUGGUCGAAAGGGAAUCGGGUUAAUAUUCCCGAACCUGGACGCGGAGAUGGAAUUGUGGGCAACUGCAAUUCAGUGCGGUAACGCAAACGAUCUCGGAUUCGUCGGCGGGAGUCCUGGGAAGAGUUCUCUCUUCUUUGUAAGGGGCUGACUCCCUGGAAUCGGCUUAGCCGGAGAUAGGGAUAUUGCAAAAGCGCCCGUAAAGCACCACACUUCUUGUGGUGUCCGGUGCACGACUGUCGACACUUAAAAAUCCGAGCUAGACGUUCAUAAUGUUCGCGCCAGGCCGUACCCAUAUCCGCAGCAGGUCUCCAAGGUGAACAGCCUCUGGCCUUAGACUGAUGUAGUCAAGGGAAGUCGGCAAAUUGGAUCCGUAACUUCGGAACAAGGAUUGGCUCUAUGGGUUGGGCCGUGACGGGCUGUGCUAGGAAGCGAUGCUUGCUAUUGGUGCUUCGGGUCUGACUGGCAACGGUUGGGCCUAGCGCCGAUUGGCAGCGCGUGGAUCUGGCAUGGCUUCUGUCGGUGAUCUUCGGGUCGUCGGCAUCGUUCGGCAGCAAGCAACCGCCAUAGAACUGGUACGGACC
rnacentral:rRNA from 1 species